AAAUAACCUGCCAUUUUAAUGAAUAUUAAUGAAUAAUUUAUUUAAAACCAGCUGCUAUAUGUUGCUGAAAAGUUACAGGAAGUUUCAUCUCAUUUCAACUGAACUAAGAUAUUCGUCCUCAAAUCUAAACCAAACUGACGUGCUAAGAUUUUCUGUUUUUGCAGAGAAUGACCAAAACCAUCGAGGAAACACACUUCAAAUACGUUGAUCAGUUAGGGCUGUACACCCGAUCAAUAUCAGUAGAUAAUAUAUCUGAUAGAAUAGUCAAUAUUCAGAAUAUUCACUGAACUGCACUGCACUCUGGGAGAUGUAGGCAGAGGAAAAGCUUUAGCCGCUCAGCCUCUCACAGCCAGCUAAGCUAGCUAAGCUAAUCAACAACUCUGUCACUUUGCGGUUGCCUAGCAACAACCUGCUGAGUGAUAAGCAGUUUCAAGCUCCCCCUAACUUUGGUUGCCUAGCAGCAACCUGCUGAGUAGCGUGGCAGCAGCGCUUUAAGGUUUUCCCAUCGCGCCUCAUAACUGCUAAAAAAUAAAAACUGGAUAAAACAGGACAGACUGCCAAUAUUUCAGAUAAUAAAAAAUCAAUAAUUAUCAAUAGACUGAUAUGAAACGCUUAUAUUGUAGAUACGUUGUUCAGCUGUAUCGUCCAGCCUUUAUUUCAUUUACUACGAAUCAAAAGGAACUUUAAACUUGUCGGUUUUUAGCCUUGAUUUGAAGAAGCUCUGCGUUUCGGAUGUUUCGCAGUUUUCUGGAAGUUUGGAUAAGCAGCAGAUGUCAGGUUGAUUUUUUUAGGUGGUAAUCAAUGAGAUUAAAGAUAAAAGCUUGGAUGAGUUUCUCUAGAUAUUUCUGAGACAUUUGUUGUUUAAUGCUGGAAAUAUUGUCAGAACCGAUUUUAACUUAUGGUCUAUUUAUGGAUGUAAGAGUCAGGAAGAUGACCGUCAUCAUGGGCUUCUGGAAGGGUUAGUACCUCCUGUUACGACCCAAUACCAACAGUUACAUGACGACCUUCAGAGGUGAGUUUACCUCACAAGGUGAUGUGCUUUUCCCUCUUGCCUGGAAAACCUUCCCCAUUCUGAGAGGGAAUGGGAUGGUGCAAACGUUUUUCAGCAUCAGUAAAGGAAACUUUUUACGCUUCUUAUCUAGGAGGCUCAAACAUACUCAGUUAUGAUUUUGCUCAAAUCAUUUUUUGCGUGUUUGUUCUUACUGCUAACUAAAAGUGACCACAAUAAGACUUCUGUGUGAAUGGUUUACGACCCGAAGCGACGAAACCCAGGAAACCCUCUACACAGCAAAUUCAAAAGUGUUAGAUUCCAGUGUUGGUGUUGUAUGUUAAAAAUAACAAGUGUGUUAAUUCAACAUUUUUAGUCUAAUUCAACAACAUGAGUGUUAGUUUCCCUUCAGAGUUGGUUAUUCCAGAGUUAAAUUUAAGCAGCUCCUGCAGAUCCAACGUAUCUGUGACGUCACAUGUUUGCCCAAAGAGCAGGAACAGCAGCAUGUCUGGAUUAUCGUAACAAGGUAGGUUCCAUUUGAAGAUUAUAAUAUGUUUGAUUAUUUUUUAUGGAUGCAUUAAUUUUCGAGUCAUAUACAUGGGUCGCUUAACGUAAGUUUAUUUGUUUGGAUAUCACUGUAUAUGCGAAUGUUUAGUGCAGUCCAGUCCUCCUACCAUCCUGCAACUUUCAGGUGCUUCCCUGCUCCAACACACCUGAAUCAAAUGAUCGGCUCGUUAGCAGGUCUGUUCAGAGCUGAUCCAGGUCUGUUGGAGUAAAGAUGCAGCUAAGCUGCAGGGCGGUUGCUCUCGAGGACUGGACCUGAGCUCCCCUGGUUUAGGAUUUUUGUUAGCAGCCAAGCAGGUGCAGCACGAGAUGUCGGGUGAUUAGCCGAACAUUAAAACUGUCAGAAAAAUUUGAAGGCCGUUUGAGUUAACAUUAUUUGCAUCAUGUUGGUGACUGAAACCUGUUAUGAUGACUUCAACACAUUUCUUCAGAAAGAACUUUUAAUGCUGUCCAGAGUAUUUCUGUGGUGAAAACGUUCUCCAGGCUAAACCGAGUGGUCAGUACUUUGAACGAAUAUGAUGGUGACACACUGGCUGGGAAAAACAGGCCUUCUUCUGUCGGUUCAUGUGAUUCUUCCUUCGUCUAAAAGCCACAAGAAGAAUUAAAACGGCCCAUGUCAAACCGAGGACCAUGUUGUCGGGUAUGUGCAGCAUUUUGUCAAAGAUGGCAGCCGGUGCUGAAGCCUUCCUUAUUGGUUGGAACCAGAACAGCCCUUCCUCCUGCAUGUUGGUGAAAACAAGAGCAGCACCAAAGACACUUGUGAUCACCAUCAGUGAUCACAAGACCAUCCCUGACCAUCAUGGCUGCUUUCCAUGAACUUUCAAAGCACACUUGCUGUUGGUGAUGGAAGGCCGACUUUGUAACCGUCUCUAUGUGGCUGUGAAUGUUCAGAUCCAAGUCCGCCCAGGUUUGGAUCUCUGGUUGCCAGCUGUAACUGGAGCUGUGCUGACUCCCGUCAGUCUUACCCCGC